rnacentral:rRNA from 1 species
AUUGAACGCUGGCGGCAGGCCUAACACAUGCAAGUCGAGCGGGGUUUUCGGACCUAGCGGCGGACGGGUGAGUAAUGCGUAGGAAGCUGCCCGAUAGAGGGGGAUACCAGUUGGAAACGACUGGUAAUACCGCAUAAUGUCUACGGACCAAAGUGUGGGACCUUCGGGCCACAUGCUAUCGGAUGCGCCUACGUGGGAUUAGCUAGUUGGUGAGGUAAUGGGUCACAAAGGCGACGAUCUCUAGCUGGUUUGAGGGGAUGAUCAGCCACACUGGAACUGAGACACGGUCCAGACUCCUACGGGAGGCAGCAGUGGGGAAUAUUGGACAAUGGGCGCAAGCCUGAUCCAGCCAUGCCGCGUGUGUGAAGAAGGCCUUCGGGUUGUAAAGCACUUUCAGCGAGGAGGAAGGGUGGUGUGUUAAUAGCACAUCAUUUUGACGUUACUCGCAGAAGAAGCACCGGCUAACUCUGUGCCAGCCGCCGCCGUAAUAC